UACGAAGGGGGCUAGCGUUGCUCGGAAUCACUGGGCGUAAAGGGUGCGUAGGCGGGUCUUUAAGUCAGGGGUGAAAUCCUGGAGCUCAACUCCAGAACUGCCUUUGAUACUGAAGAUCUCGAGUCCGGGAGAGGUGAGUGGAACUGCGAGUGUAGAGGUGAAAUUCGUAGAUAUUCGCAAGAACACCAGUGGCGAAGGCGGCUCACUGGCCCGAUACUGACGCUGAGGCACGAAAGCGUGGGGAGCAAACAGG
rnacentral:rRNA from 1 species